rnacentral:tRNA from 1 species
GGCCGCCUGGCGUAAUGGCAACGCGUCUGACUACGAUCCAGUAAUCAGGAGAUUGCAGGUUCGACCCCUGCGGUGGUCA